rnacentral:rRNA from 1 species
UACGAAGGGGGCUAGCGUUGCUCGGAAUCACUGGGCGUAAAGCGCACGUAGGCGGAUUGUUAAGUCAGGGGUGAAAUCCUGGAGCUCAACUCCAGAACUGCCUUUGAUACUGAGAAGCUCGAGUCCGGGAGAGGUGAGUGGAACUGCGAGUGUAGAGGUGAAAUUCGUAGAUAUUCGCAAGAACACCAGUGGCGAAGGCGGCUCACUGGCCCGAUACUGACGCUGAGGCACGAAAGCGUGGG